rnacentral:rRNA from 1 species
GACGAACGCUGGCGGCGUGCUUAACACAUGCAAGUCGAACGAAGUGGCGAACGGGUGAGUAACGCGUAAUCAACCUGCCCUUCAGUGGGGGACAACAGUUGGAAACGACUGCUAAUACCGCAUACUGAAGGAGGGGAUUGCGUCUGAUUACUGGGUUGGAGGGGUAACGGCCCACCAGGGCGAUGAUCAGUAGCCGGUUUGAGGGGAUGAACGGCCACAGUGGGACUGAGACACGGCCCAGACUCCUACGGGAGGCAGCAGGGGGGAAUCUUCCGGAAUGGACGAAAGUCUGACGGAGCAACGCCGCGGUAGUGAUGACGGCCUUCGGGUUGGAAAGCUCUGUUAAUCGGGACGCGGUACCGGAAUAGAAAGCCACGGCUAACUACGUGCCAGCCGCCGCGGUAAUUC